rnacentral:rRNA from 1 species
GAUGAACGCUGGCGGCGUGCCUAAUACAUGCAAGUCGAGCGAACAGACGAGGAGCUUGCUCCUCUGACGUUAGCGGCGGACGGGUAAGUAACACGUGGAUAACCUACCUAUAAGACUGGGAUAACUUCGGGAAACCGGAGCUAAUACCGGAUAAUAUAUUGAACCGCAUGGUUCAAUAGUGAAAGACGGUUUUGCUGUCACUUAUAGAUGGAUCCGCGCCGCAUUAGCUAGUUGGUAAGGUAACGGCUUACCAAGGCAACGAUGCGUAGCCGACCUGAGAGGGGGAUCGGCCACCCUGGAACUGAGACCCGGCCCAGACCCCGACGGGGGGCAGCAGUAGGGAAUUUGCCGAAAGGGGCGAAAGCCUGACGGAGCAACGCCGCGUGAGUGAUGAAGGUCUUCGGAUCGAAAAACUCUGUUAUUGGGGAAAAAAAAAUGUGUAAGUAACUAUGCACGUUUUGACGGUACCUAAUCAAAAAGCCAGGGCUAACUACG